UCACAGCCAUAUCUCGUGUAAACUAUGGCUGACGCUUCACGUAUAUCUAGAGAGUUGCGCAACUUAGCGAAUGAAGUCGAUAACCACGCAUCAAAUGACUAUGUUUUAUUUAGAGUAGAGGUGCUUAUAGAUUUUUAUGAGAGCUGUAUGCCGGUAUGAAUGCCAAAGCACGUCCUGGAUUGUUAGACUCUCUGCAAAAUGUUUCCCUGCAUAUUCAAAAUCUGUGCGAGUCAGAGGGUGCUAGGGUGGGACGUCCAUCUUAUUUGCUUCCGAUAAGUACUAUUGAAACUUAUCUCUUAAUGGGUCAAACUGCUGGAAACAUUGCAAAGUUGUUUUGUGUAUGUGAAAGAACUAUUCGUAACAGGAAUUACGCAGCAUGGUUAAAGAGUAAGCGACCUGUUCUCAACUUUGGAAGACGCUAAACUGGAUGCUGUGGUAGAAGAUAUACUAAAACUUCAUCCCAAUUCAGGGUAUAAAAUGAUGGUUGGAAAUCUCACUGCACAGGGCAUUCGUGUACAGCGGCGAGUGUUCAAGAAUUCAUGCGACGCGUGGAUCCUCAGAGUGUCUUAAUGCGCAGUCUUCAGCUGAACCCUCGGAGGUGUAGAAAAUACACUGUCCCUGCACCCAACAGUUUAUGGCACAUCGUUGGUAACCAUAAGCUAGUAAGGUAUGCUGAUAGUAAUAGAAAUUAUUGAAGGUUUAAUCAUGGUCAGCUGAAUGUGUUUUCCUAUGUCAGACUGAAGAGGAAAGGUCUGUACAGUUGACCAAAAGAAACUGAAAGCAUAAAGAUGUGUAAUUGGUGGAAGUAAUUGCAGCUCAAGAUGUUUUGUCACUCUGGCUUCCUCAGUUGAUAGUGGAGCUUCCUCAGCAUUACAUUUCAUCACACACAUGUAGACUACAAGUGUGCAUUUGUUGGGGUUAGUUUGAAAGGACUGUGUUGUAAGAAGCUGACAAUCACACCUAUCCUCUCUGGGCAAAAUCCUCACUUCACUGUCUUAGAACGUGUGAUGUUGAAUGUUGUCUUUGAAGGAUCUUCCUUGUGAACCUAAAUCUGCAAUGACUCUCACCAUUAUGAGUUGUUAUAUGACUAUUACUGGAUGAUUAUAUUAAGUCAUUGGGUAAUGUCAUGUGAUGUCAUUGUGUGUGUUAAGAUGUAAUGCUGGGGAAGCUCCACCAUCAGUUCAUCCAUUUGACUAGAACGUUUUUGUAGAUUUAUUCUACCAUGACCUGGAUAACUGAGAAUUUUCACAAAUAUAAUUGGUGGGAUAUGAGCAGAUUUUCCUAACUUUGUUGUUGUUCAAUGCAUCAAUAAUUAUGUAAAUGUUAUGGUAUUAAGUAUGUGAUAUACUUUCAUGGCUCUUUUAAUUUACUUUAGAAAGUAGGAUGUUUUCCUAUAUCUGUUCCGGGUGGCGUAUUGUGGUUCACGGUGGCAUUGAUGGUUUUAGCCAUCUAAUCAUGUACUUAAAAGCUGCCACCAAUAAUAAAGCUGCUACAGUCCUGACAAGCUUUUUAGAAGGUGUCAGCCUGUAUGAUGUGCCAUCUUGUGUAAGAUCAGAUAAAGGUGGGGAGAAUAUAGACGUCGCUCGCUUCAUGGUGUCCACCAGAAGAGAGAACAGAAACUCACACAUCACAGGGAGGAGUGUCCAUAAUCAAAGGUAUACAGUGCCUUGCAAAGUGUUCAGACCCUUUGAAAAAAAAAAAAAAAUCAGGAUAUUUAUUGCAAACUCAUCUGUUCUACGAGUACUUUUUUUAAAGCCAAAAUUAAAGGGGGGCCUGGGUAGCUCAGCCUGCAAAGACGGUUGGCUACCAUCGAAUCCUGAUGUAAUGAGUGACUCCAGUCAGGCUUCCUAAGCAACCAAAUUGGCUCAGUUGCUAGGGAGGGAAGAGUAACAGGGGUUACCAUCCUCGUGGUUGCGAUGACGGUUCUCAUCCACAGUAGGGCGUGUGGUGAGCCGUAUGCAGAAUCGUGGGGAAUGGCAUGAGCCUCAACACGCGCCAUGUCUCCACGGUGGUGCGCCCAGUGAAACAUGAAAAGAUGCACGGAUUGACAGACUCGGAAACGGAGGUAACCGAGGGCUGUCCCCCGCCAGCUGGACUCUGAGGGUAGAGCAACCAUGCCACCACAAGGACAUGGAGAGCAUUGAGAAUUGGGUAUUCUAAAUUGGAUGAAAAAGGGAAAAAGCAAUAAAAAUAGCCAAAAUUAAAGAUAUUUGAGUAGACAUUUAAAAGAAAAGAAAAAACUGAAAUAUGCCUUUUGCAUAAAUAUUCAUACCCCUCAUAUGAAUAUUUAGUCAGGUCACCUUUUGCUGUAAAAACAGCUAUUAAUGUUUUGGGGCAAGUAUCCACCAGCUUUGCACAUAGGCUGAGAGUUUUGUCCAUUCUUCUUGGCAGAGUGGUACAGGUUGGUUGGGUGAUGCUUGUGGACUGUAAUUUUCAAAUAGUGCCACAGAUUCUCAAAAGAAUUCAAGUGUUGCUUUUGCCUUGUGCUUGGGAUCUUUGAUGGAGCAAAAUACAGGGCAAUACUGAAAUUUUUCUGCUAAAAAGCUGAAACUUGGGAGAAAUUUCACCUUUCAGUAGGACACUGAUCCCAAGCACAAAGCAAAAGAGGAAUUACUUGAGAACAAAAAGGUGAAUAACCUACAGUGGCCCAAAAAUCCUAAUCUCAAUCCUGUUGAGAAUUUAUUUGAAAAUUUCACUCCACCCAACCAACCUGAACCACCUGGAGCAAAUCUGCCAAGGAAUGGACAAAACUUGCUCUUAGCCUGUUUGUAAAAUGCUUAAAACUGUUAUUACAGCAAAAGGUGGCCCGACUAAAUAUUAAUAUAAGGGGUAUGAAUAUUUACAGUAUGCAAUCAGCAGUUUUAAUUUUUUUAUUUAAUUUUAUAUAUAUAUAUAUAUAUAUAUAUAUAUAUAUAUAUAUUGUAGGAGCCAUAUUUUAAAGUUUAACUGGUAAGUGUUCACAUAAUUUCAAUACAAGGAUAACAUGUUUAGAAUAUGGAAAGCAGGAAAUUUGAAAGAUGGUAUGUUUAUUCACUUGGAACACAAUAAAGGCAGACACUGAAUGCAUGGACACUUUCUGCACAUGUUAAUACGUGCUCACUCCUGUUACCAAGCCACCUCUGGGUUUUUUGGAAAGUCAUUACAAAUAUCUACUCAGAUAUCUUUAAUUUUGGCUUUAAAAAUGUACUCACAGAGCUGAGUUUACAAUAAAAAUGAUAAAUACUUUUGCAAGGCACUGUGUAUGUGUGUGUAUACAUAUAGUACUGUGGAAAAAGUAUUUGCCCCUUCCUGAUGUCUUCUAUUUAUCUGUACCGUAGAUCUCUUACAAAAUUUUCAGAUCUUCAAAUGUGUGAAAAGUAUUUGUCCCCUUAGUUACUAAAUCCCCAAAUGUCUGUAAAAUAGAUUACUUUUUUAUUUACAUUUCAGGUUAUGGAAGCCCUAUUUCAGGCACAACAUUGUAAAUUUUGUCAAGGUCCUUGUUUCCAGGUUAAAUAUUUUAGUAUUUUGGCUCUUUUACGGUGUUAGGAUCGAAAGGUUGUGGAGAGAUGUUUAUGCUGGUGUGCUUGAUCUCUUCUAAACAAUCUUUACCAACCUUGAGAAUGAAGGGCUUCUGAGUCCAGAUGAUGAAAUGCAUCUCUAUUUGCUCCACUGGUGCUUCAUGCCACAUGUACAGAAACACCUUCAGUUCUUUCAGGAUGGCUGGAACCACCACAAGUUGCGGACCGAAGGAAAUACACCAGUACAGCUCUGGGAAUGUCAUCAACCUGAGGCAUUGCAAGACCCUAACCAGGUAGAUGCCAUGCAAUAUGGCAUUGACUGGACAGGACCAUGUGGUCAUCACGAACCCAGUGUAGUGAUCCCUGAAAUACAAAUGGCACGUCAACUUACACAGCAGGAUGCUGAGAGGUUCCCAGACCCAGAUGUCCCUCUGGCUGAUGUGUUGGAGGUCUACAGAGAGACUGUAGCUUUAUUAUCAGAAAUGAUAGAGUAGCACAAAUAUACAGCAUCUACAAGAGAAUUUUGUUUUAAU